rfam:Mycobacterium riyadhense strain DSM 45176 contig_42, whole genome shotgun sequence.
CUUGAUCGACCCCAACCACAACGGCUCACCGCCAUGGCGGUCUUGCCCAUACGUGGCCAACAACGCCUGAGCCUC